rnacentral:rRNA from 1 species
CAGUCGUACCGGCGGAUAAUCAGCCUUUAGGAUGCGAUUUUGUGGAGCGUGAGGAGCUAAUCGCCUUCAUGCCUAUAUAUUCGUGUACUUGGGGUGUACUUAUUCGUGAGGUAAGUUAACAUCAAUUUUGGUCGUCAUAAAAUGACUGGAGGAAUGUAGCUUCGAUCUCGUAUUGAAGUGUUAUAGCCUUUGGUAGAUGUGAUUAUCGGGGAUUGGAGGAUUGCAACGGAUACCCGUUCGGGGCUGCUUGUCUGAUCUCUGAUCG